rnacentral:rRNA from 1 species
AAUCAACGCUGGCGGCGUGCCUAACACAUGCAAGUCGAACGCGAAAGGGGCUUCGGCCCUGAGUAGAGUGGCGAACGGGUGAGGAAUACAUGGGUAACCUACCCUCGAGUGGGGAAUAACUAGCCGAAAGGUUAGCUAAUACCGCGUACGCUUCUUGGACUUCGGUUCAGGGAGGAAAGCGAUGCCGAGGGUAUCGCGCUCUUGGAUGGGCUCAUGUCCUAUCAGCUUGUUGGUGAGGUAACGGCUCACCAAGGCUUCGACGGGUAGCUGGUCUGAGAGGACGAUCAGCCACACUGGCACUGCGACACGGGCCAGACUCCUACGGGAGGCAGCAGUAAGGAAUAUUGCGCAAUGGGCGAAAGCCUGACGCAGCGACGCCGCGUGGGGGAGUGAAGGUC